rnacentral:sRNA from 1 species
AUAUUGCACGAGUCGUGCAGAUGAGAACCUGCGCUCAGGUUCGAGCCGAGCGAAGCGAGACAGCAACGCGUCAGCGUUGACCCCGAAGGGGCGAGGCCAAAGGCCGAGUCAUCCUGCACGACCCACCA